ACAGCAGUCGCCACGGGAAUACGGAGGGUGCAAGCGUUAAUCGGAAUUACUGGGCGUAAAGCGCACGCAGGCGGUCUGUCAAGUCAGAUGUGAAAUCCCCGGGCUUAACCUGGGAACUGCAUUUGAAACUGGCAGGCUAGAGUCUUGUAGAGGGGGGUAGAAUUCCAGGUGUAGCGGUGAAAUGCGUAGAGAUCUGGAGGAAUACCGGUGGCGAAGGCGGCCCCCUGGACAAAGACUGACGCUCAGGUGCGAAAGCGUGGGGAGCAAACAGGAUUAGAUACCCCUGUAGUCCCUGUCUCUUAUAC
rnacentral:rRNA from 1 species